CACAUCUCAUCUCCUGACUAGCGGAGCAAUCCGCACUUCUGCAAGCAACUGCCCGAAUUCGGCGUCGUUCUGAGCGCCGCCGCUGCCACCAUUUUGUCCAAGCGACACCUGUAACGAGCGAGGAUGCCGGCGUUCAAGACGCCCUUUUGCGGCUACGCCGUUCGGUUCAGCCCCUUCUACGAGUCCCGGCUGGCGGUGGCUACUGCCCAGAAUUUCGGUAUCGUCGGCAACGGCCGCCUCCACAUCCUUGAGCUCUCCGCUGGCCCGCCAGGCGCCGCCGGAGGCGGAAUCGUCCCUACGGCCGCCUUCGACACUGCGGACGCUAUCUACGACUGCGCCUGGUGCGAGGACAACGACCAACUGCUGGUGGCGGCGGUGGCGGACGGAUCGCUUAAAGUGUACGACCUCUCCCUCCCACCCCAAUCCAAUCCUGUUCGGUCCUUCCACGAGCACUCCCGGGAGGUUCACGCCGUUGAUUGGAACCCUGUACGGAAAGAUUCCUUCCUCUCCGCCUCCUGGGACGAUUCCUUGAAGCUCUGGACCCUCGAUCGGCCGCUCAGCCUCCGGACACUCCGGGGCCACAGCUACUGCGUCUACUCUGUGGCCUGGAGCCCCCGCCACGCUGACGUCCUAGCGUCGGCCUCCGGUGACGGCACCCUCCGCCUGUGGGACAUCCGCGAGCCAGAAGCCACGCUGGUCCUCCCCGCUCACGAGCUUGAGAUCCUCGCCUGCGACUGGGAUAAGUACUCCGACUGUAUCGUCGUUACUGGCUCCGUCGACAAGUCGAUACGUGUCUGGGACGUUCGCAGCCCCCGUGCGCCAAUUACGGAGAUGCUCGGCCACGGCUACGCCAUCCGCCGCCUUCGGUGCUCGCCACACCGUGAGGGUUUCGUGGCGUCGUGCUCGUAUGAUAUGAGCGUCAGGUUGUGGAACUACCGGGCGGUCGAUGACAGCGCUACCACUGUCGCGAGAUGGGAUCACCACACGGAGUUCGCUGUCGGAGUGGACAUGAGCGUGCUGGUUGAUGGCUUGAUGGCCAGCACCGGGUGGGACGAACUCGUCUACGUCUGGCAGAUCGGAACCGAUCCCAGGGCUCCCUGACUCCGUACUGCAGUGCUAUUUGAAGAAACAUGGAUGGAUUAAGGAAUCUGCUAAACAUGCUGAUAAAUUAUCAGCACAUUCAGAUCUCAAGCCAAGUUAAGCUUGGGAUUUGGUCAAUCUUGCAGACUAUAUUUACCUUUCUCAGAUUUUCUGCUUGUUCUAGUUAAGGUAAAGUUGGAGAAAACCGUAAAUGUUGGUGAUAUUUUAAGAAGUUCAUGAUUGUAUCGUCAAGACUGCCAGCAGUGCCAAAAUAGUACAAACGCUAAUAUCAGGAAAAGCUUGUGAUAUGGUCAUGCUGCUAAAAAUCAAAUGUCGGAAUAACAUCGUGAGGCUUUCCCUAGUUCCAAGGAAAAUCCCUUUCUUACAAGCAAAUGUACAUUGUACAAUUUUUCGUUUCUUUUACAAUUUUAAACUUUGGUAUGAAUGAUUGUCUAUAUUUUUGUAAGAAAAGUUUAAUAACCUUUUUGUUUCUUAUAUAUUUUAAUUUUUCUGAAUUCUGGA